rnacentral:rRNA from 1 species
GGGCGCGGCGGCGAGGCUGCAGGCGGCGGUGGCGUCGGGCAGGGCGGAGGGCCUCCUCCGGGGCGCGUGCGCGGCGGCGGCGGCGGCGUCGGCGCUGCUCCUGGGCCUGAGCGCGCAGACCAAGACGGUGCUCUUCGUCCGGAAGAAGGCCGUGCCCAAGGACGUCGAGGCCCUCUGGUACGUCCAUGUUCGGUCACAGAUGUACGACUAAGCUUUCACAACGAUCCUGAUCGGAUGCUCGCCGUGUGUGCCAACCAGGGUGCUGAUCGUGGCGGCGGCCGUGGCCGCGGGGUACCACGCGGCGCGGCUCCUCAAGCGGCUCUGCUCCGGCGGCCGCUUCGCCGGCGGCGACGACGGCCGGGGCUGCGCCAGGGCGGUCGCGUGGGCGUGUUUCCUCCUCGACAAGGGGUGUGCGUACGUGGUGUUCGCGAGCGCCAUCGCGGCGCUGCAAGCGUGCUUCGUGGCGCUGACGGGCGUAGAGCCCCUGCAGUGGAGCAGGCUCUGCGACAUCUACACCCGCUUCUGCGUGCAGGGCGCCUUCGGCAUGGUUUGCGGCCUCGCGGCCGCCGUCGGCAUGGCCCUCCUCUCGGUCUUCUCCGCGCGCGACCUCUUCCGGCUCUACUCGCCGGCUGGGCGCAGGCAGGCGCGGCUGAGAUCGGAAUCAAGUCAGACAGGCCUCAUGAUGAGUACAAAUGA